GCCGGUAGCUGCCAGUGAAACUUCAAGUACAGGGGUGCAAAUUCCCAAUGUUUAUUACCUUCAUGGGCUCUUUCAAGUCUUUUAACAAUCUCCAAGUAAAUUUCCCGGAGAAUUGGCAUCGCCAUGAAGUGAUAAUUUACCUGCCUACAACCUACAUCUACAGACUGUCUCCAGUGACAUGACAGACGACCAUGGGCCUGGCCACUACAGGUACUUUGAAGACUCCUGUAUUUCAAGAAUUUUGCUGAAACAAUGGCUGCUCGACAGACAGAAAAAAU